rnacentral:rRNA from 1 species
ACGUAGGGUGCGAGCGUUAAUCGGAAUUACUGGGCGUAAAGAGUGCGUAGGCGGUCUGUGAAGUCAGAUGUGAAAGCCCCGGGCUUAACCUGGGAUGUGCGUUUGAAACUGGCAGGCUAGAGUUUGAUAGAGGGGGGUAGAAUUCCUGGUGUAGCAGUGAAAUGCGUAGAUAUCAGGAGGAAUACCGAUGGCGAAGGCAGCCCCCUGGAUUAAAACUGACGCUCAGGCACGAAAGCAUGGGGAGCAAACAGGA